AUCAUUUCUUGGCUUUUUAGCUAAGAUCAAGUGUAGUACCAAAUUGCAAUUAGAGAUUUUCAAUAACUAGAUGUCCUAACGGGUCAAUACCAUGAUUAUUUCUAUUUCUGAACUAUAAUUAUUUUCCUAGGAAAAAAAAUGUACUUCUCAGGGCAACGAGGUGGCUCAGGGGAUAGAGAGCAAAGCCU